ACUACGGGUGGCAGCAGUGGGGAAUAUUGCACAAUGGGGGAAACCCUGAUGCAGCGACGCCGCGUGAGUGAAGAAGUAUUUCGGUAUGUAAAGCUCUAUCAGCAGGGAAGAAAUACUGACCUUACGGUCAGCAGACGGUACCUGACUAAGAAGCCCCGGCUAACGACGUGCCAGUAGCCGCGGUAAUACGUAGGGGGCAAGCGUUAUCCGGAUUUACUGGGUGGAAAGGGAGCGUAGACGGCAGCGCAAGUCUGAAGUGAAAUCCCAUGGCUUAACCAUGGAACUGCUUUGGAAACUGUGCAGCUGGAGUGCAGGAGAGGUAAGCGGAAUUCGUAGUGUAGCGGUGAAAUGCGUAGAUAUUAGGAGGAACACCAGUGGCGAAGGCGGCUUACUGGACUGUAACUGACGUUGAGGCUCGAAAGCGUGGGGAGCAAACAGGAUUAGAUACCCCAGUAGUC
rnacentral:rRNA from 1 species